CUCAGGAUGAACGCUGGCGGCGUGCUUAACACAUGCAAGUCGAACGGUGAACACGGAGCUUGCUCUGUGGGAUCAGUGGCGAACGGGUGAGUAACACGUGAGCAACCUGCCCCUGACUCUGGGAUAAGCGCUGGAAACGGCGUCUAAUACUGGAUAUGUGACGUGACCGCAUGGUCUGCGUUUGGAAAGAUUUUUCGGUUGGGGAUGGGCUCGCGGCCUAUCAGCUUGUUGGUGAGGUAAUGGCUCACCAAGGCGUCGACGGGUAGCCGGCCUGAGAGGGUGACCGGCCACACUGGGACUGAGACACGGCCCAGACUCCUACGGGAGGCAGCAGUGGGGAAUAUUGCACAAUGGGCGAAAGCCUGAUGCAGCAACGCCGCGUGAGAAAUGACGGCCUUCGGGUUGUAAACCUCUUUUAGCAGGGAAGAAGCGAAAGUGAC
rnacentral:rRNA from 1 species